AAAAAUGUGUAAAAGACACACCUAAAUGAGAUCCCAAUAAAGCAAGAAAAUGAGUUAAUAUGACUUUGAACCACCAGAGGGUAGAGACGAUUUACAUGACUCCUUUUUCCUCUUCCUUUCUUUCUUUCUUUCUUUCUUACUUACUUUAUUUCUUGUUAUUAACUAUCUAAAGCAAGUUCCAAUAUUUACCUGAGAAUUAACACCAGAGCUGUAAAUUAUAUAGAUUUCUUUUUUAAUCAUGGAUUGAAUAAACAGUGCAUAUUUUCUUUAUAUUUAAAUAUACAUUGGUGGCUCAGUGGUAACAUACUCUGUAGUAACGGUUAUGCUGCCCUUCAGGUUUUGCUUGAAUAGGCGAUAACCUCCUUUCUGCCAGCAUCCCUCCUAUGUGCCAAAAUGGCCCCCAAACCAGUGUCUCUGGCACUAUAUACAGUGAAUGGGCGCUGAAGAUCGGAAUGGCGGUGGUGAGGUCUCCCAGAACUGUCUCCAUGAGCCCCUGAAACGUUGCGGGAGCAUUUUUGAGCCCAAACCUUUGAGCCUGCAGGAGUGAUGAAGUGAUGAAAUGAUGACGGCUGCUCCUAACGCCAUACAGACUUCAUAUAAAUCCAUAAUGAACUUUUUCACACUAACUGUUGUUACCCAGAUGAGGAUGGGUUCCCUUCUGAGUCGGGUUCCUCUCAAGGUUUCUUCCUCUUAAAACAUCUUAGGGAGUUUUUCCUUGCCACCGUCGCCACUCAGUGGCUUGCUCAGUUGGGAUAAAUUCGCACCUUUAAUAUCUGUAUACCAUGUUGAUAUUUCUGUAAAGCUGCUUUGAGACAAUGUCUAUUGUAAAAAGCGCUAUACAAAUAAAAUUGAAUUGAAUUGAAUUGAAUUGAAUGAAGGCCAUCUUGGCUUUGCUGUUGACAAAACACAAUACAAUCUCAAAGAUCAGCGAUAACCAUUAAGCUUCCAUUAAGCUUAAAACAAUGAAUUAGCACGGAUAAGAAAUAAACCAAUGUGUGAAUGGGAAUGAAGUGUGGGUGUGUCUGAGUGUGUGAAUGAGUGUUGGUGUGAGAUCGCGGCGUCCGGGCACACUGACCGAUUUGGAGGAUGGGAUGGCAACUGGAGAAUGUAAUCAGCCCUCGUCAGGCUCCAAGAAGGGAGGUAACAGGCCUUGAACUUGUCUUUGAACAGCUCACCACGAACAGCCAUUUGUACAAGUGCUCUGUGUCGCACUGGACUGCAUGCACAGAAAGCAUUAGAUCAAAAGCGGCCGUCUCCCCACUCCACACAGUAACCAUAUCUUUUCCUCUCACUUGACAACCUUCUCACGAGCCAAGCCAACCUCGACUGGUGCCCGUCCUCUUUUCACCUCAUAGGUGAAAUAGGCCUCGCCUCCAUUUCCCUUUCUGCAGUUAAUUGACUUACUCCACCCUAUCCGUUAAAGGUAAAAGUGAAAAAUAACCAUUGCACAUUCCCGUAUAGUUUACUGCACUGUCACACUGUGUCAAAAGUCAGCAGUUGAAAGCCCCAGCGCUGCCAAGCAGCCAAUGUUGGGCCCUUAAGCAAGGCCCUUAAUCCUGUCUGCUCUAAGGGUGCUGUAUUAUGGUUGAUUGUGUGCUCUGAUCCCAGAUUGUUAAAAAGAAAUAUAUGCUUUUAUAUGUGAUGAAAGAAUUUCAUUUACUGUGAUGUAUGUGGUAUGUGACAAAUAAAG
ensembl:lncRNA